ensembl:lncRNA
GUGCACAGGUGAGCGCCUGCCACACCCCAGCCCAACCUGGUGACUUCCAUGCACACACCCAGGAGGGGCCAUGGGGACACAGCCUCCGCCAGCACCAGGGACAAGGAAUUUUCCAUCUGGAUUUGACUGAAAAUUAUCCACAGGAACUUAGUCUUCCCUAUAGAGGAGACAAAGGUGACACGGACACGGAACCACACGAGACCUGCCACCUCCACACCCCUGACAUGGAGUGCAAAAGCCCACAUACAUGCACAUGUGUGUACACACCCACACCAGCAGGACCCACGUGUGUAGUGAGAGGCUCUUUUGCUCCUCCGCCACAAAGCCAUGCUAUGCUGGACCCAAAUUCAUCGAAAUUAGUGAAAGUAAGAAUUUUGUCCCUCGGCGCUAGCCACAUUUGAAGUGCUCAGAACUGAAGGCUGGCUUUCACUUACUGCCCUUCAUGUGGGCCUCACCGGUGCACAGGUGAGCCUAAGGGACACCUACCUCUCCAGCUCACAUGCCUGCCUGCUUGCUCCUCUCUCCCGUGUCUACACCAACUCCAUGCUCCGCCCUGCAUGGCAUCAUCUGGCCUCUGGCUGGAGAGAAGAUCAGAUGGGAGCAGAAUAAUAGGCCUGCAGUGACAGUGUCCAGUCUCUGGGGUGGAUGGCAGAGAGCUCUGGGAACUCGGAGGGCCCAGCUGAGCCUGGGCUGGGCAGGAGAAGGGAUGUCCUGACCCACGGGAGCCUGGCCUAGAUGCCGGGUCUCAAGCAGGCAGAGAGAAGGGACAUCACGUCCAGGGUGGGAAGAGGCAUAAUGUGGGAAGUGGGUGUGUGUUGGAAACUGCAGUCACCCUCUUUGACUGGUGUGACAGGUGUGGGCCAUGGAGGGGCAGCGGCCCUGGACAGGUAGAGUCUUGGAAUCUCAGCUCAGGAUGCCUCUAGCUCUGUAAGGGGCCAGAGUCCCAAGGGCCAGAGGUUCAGGUAGAUGGUGAUUACCAGGGCCGAGUGGCAGGCAGGCAGGUGUCACCAAGAAAUCAAUGCGCCCGAUCCAUUGUUCACACAACUUCGGAUAAUCUGCAUUCGACUAAGUCUUUGCUUUCUGUACCAUAAUUUCUAGACUAAUUCCCACUUUACACUGUCCUAACAUGGUACAGGCUCUAAUGAUGAAUUAUUAAAGACCCAAAUUAAUAACCACAAGUACUCGAUGACAGCCACAACAGUGGCACUAAGCAUGCAUUUAAGGAUGAAUGGCUGCACAGACUCAUCCUGCUCUCUGCAGACCCAGGGAGGGACAUAGGACACAGGCUUCCCCUUCCCCUGCAGUUUGGGCCUUGAGGCCCUGGGUGAGAGGGAGAGACAGCUGUCAUCUCUGUCUCCCUGUCCACUCCAGGUUCCCAACAAUCUGGGUUCUCUGUCCCCCACUGACCACACACACCACUGUCCCUGUUCCCUGAGAUGGGGACCCAACCAGUCCCCUCCCCUCUGGGGCCCUCAGGUUCUCAGCUAGGCAAGGAGAGCCAAGCAGAAGAGGAGGGAAAAGAAGGAGGAAGGGGAAGCAAGAAUUUGGGGAAAGAAAAGAACAGGAAAGAAGCAAGCAGGAAGUAGCUGCUGGGCAGAAUGGCUCGAGCGAGGGGACCCUUGCAUUCUCUGCUGGCUGAGCAAGGGCCCUGUCCUUCCAGGGAGCUCCCUACAGGUGCUUUCUCAAGCUCCUCGAGGCCUCAAGGAGAUGCUCCCAGGGGCUGGGCCACCUCCUCCCUCCCAUGAGCAAACAGGAGCUUUCCUUGUUCCUGGCCUCCUCCUAGGCACUCCCCCACCCCAGCGGGCCCAGGAGGCCCCCUCUCUUGCUGGACUGCUUGCUCCCCAGGGUAAAGGCCAGGUGCCCACCAUGUUUGUCUGGGGAAGAGGAUGGGGUCCGUCCGAGGUCCUCCUUACCAAUAGCACGUCUCCCCUCCUCCCAGGACCCUGGGCAACACUUCCCUUAGACCCCAACCCUGCAGGGUGCCCACAGCCUGGAAAGUUGCUGGCACUGUUGGGAGAGAGGGCAAGAGGUUUGCCAAGCUGAGAUCCGAAGGGAAAUGUGCGUGUGCAUGCAUGUGUGUAUGCACGUGUAUUGCCAUGUAGUAGGGGCUGCCUGAGUGGCACUACAGGGUACAAGAGGGCUUGGAAAAACACAAGGAGAAUUGCAAGAGAAAGAGAAAUGAAAGAGAGAAAAAGGUUUAAGGUACAAGAAAGGCAAGAGGAAGUGGGGGGAUCCAGUCUAGAAGGGGUACAGGGAAAGGGCAGCAGAUGGAAG